rnacentral:rRNA from 1 species
CCGACUAAUGUUGAAAAAUUAGCGGAUGACUUGUGGCUGGGGGUGAAAGGCCAAUCAAACCGGGAGAUAGCUGGUUCUCCCCGAAAGCUAUUUAGGUAGCGCCUCGUGAACUCAUCUUCGGGGGUAGAGCACUGUUUCGGCUAGGGGGUCAUCCCGACUUACCAACCCGAUGCAAACUACGAAUACCGAAGAAUGUUAUCACGGGAGACACACGGCGGGUGCUAACGUCCGUCGUGAAGAGGGAAACAACCCAGACCGCCAGCUAAGGUCCCAAAGUCAUGGUUAAGUGGGAAACGAUGUGGGAAGGCACAGACAGCCAGGAUGUUGGCUUAGAAGCAGCCAUCAUUUAAAGAAAGCGUAAUAGCUCACUGGUCGAGUCGGCCUGCGCGGAAGAUGUAACGGGGCUAAACCAUGCACCGAAGCUGCGGCAGCGACACGAUGUGUUGUUGGGUAGGGGAGCGUUCUGUAAGCCUGCGAAGGUGNUGUGAACUCGAAGAGUAGGGCGGGACACGUGGUAUCCUGUCUGAAUAUGGGGGGACCAUCCUCCAAGGCUAAAUACUCCUGACUGACCGAUAGUGAACCAGUACCGUGAGGGAAAGGCGAAAAGAACCCCGGCGAGGGGAGUGAAAAAGAACCUGAAACCGUGUACGUACAAGCAGUGGGAGCACCUUUAUGGUGUGACUGCGUACCUUUUGUAUAAUGGGUCAGCGACUUAUAUUCUGUAGCAAGGUUAACCGUAUAGGGGAGCCGCAGGGAAACCGAGUCUUAACUGGGCGUUAAGUUGCAGGGUAUAGACCCGAAACCCGGUGAUCUAGCCAUGGGCAGGUUGAAGGUUGGGUAACACUAACUGGAGGACCGAACCGACUAAUGUUGAAAAAUUAGCGGAUGACUUGUGGCUGGGGGUGAAAGGCCAAUCAAACCGGGAGAUAGCUGGUUCUCCCCGAAAGCUAUUUAGGUAGCGCCUCGUGAACUCAUCUUCGGGGGUAGAGCACUGUUUCGGCUAGGGGGUCAUCCCGACUUACCAACCCGAUGCAAACUACGAAUACCGAAGAAUGUUAUCACGGGAGACACACGGCGGGUGCUAACGUCCGUCGUGAAGAGGGAAACAACCCAGACCGCCAGCUAAGGUCCCAAAGUCAUGGUUAAGUGGGAAACGAUGUGGGAAGGCACAGACAGCCAGGAUGUUGGCUUAGAAGCAGCCAUCAUUUAAAGAAAGCGUAAUAGCUCACUGGUCGAGUCGGCCUGCGCGGAAGAUGUAACGGGGCUAAACCAUGCACCGAAGCUGCGGCAGCGACACUAUGUGUUGUUGGGUAGGGGAGCGUUCUGUAAGCCUGCGAAGGUGGCCUGUGAGGGUCGCUGGAGGUAUCAGAAGUGCGAAUGCUGACAUAAGUAACGAUAAAGCGGGUGAAAAGCCCGCUCGCCGGAAGACCAAGGGUUCCUGUCCAACGUUAAUCGGGGCAGGGUGAGUCGACCCCUAAGGCGAGGCCGAAAGGCGUAGUCGAUGGGAAACAGGUUAAUAUUCCUGUACUUGGUGUUACUGCGAAGGGGGGACGGAGAAGGCUAUGUUAGCCGGGCGACGGUUGUCCCGGUUUAAGCAUGUAGGCUGNUUAUCCAGGCAAAUCCGGAUAAUCAAGGCUGAGGUGUGAUGACGAGGCACUACGGUGCUGAAGUAACAAAUGCCCUGCUUCCAGGAAAAGCCUCUAAGCAUCAGGUAACAUCAAAUCGUACCCCAAACCGACACAGGUGGUCAGGUAGAGAAUACCAAGGCGCUUGAGAGAACUCGGGUGAAGGAACUAGGCAAAAUGGUGCCGUAACUUCGGGAGAAGGCACGCUGGUGUGUAGGUGAAGCCCCUGCGGGUGGAGCUGAGACCAGUCGAAGAUACCAGCUGGCUGCAACUGUUUAUUAAAAACACAGCACUGUGCAAACACGAAAGUGGACGUAUACGGUGUGACGCCUGCCCGGUGCCGGAAGGUUAAUUGAUGGGGUUAUCCGUAAGGAGAAGCUCUUGAUCGAAGCCCCGGUAAACGGCGGCCGUAACUAUAACGGUCCUAAGGUAGCGAAAUUCCUUGUCGGGUAAGUUCCGACCUGCACGAAUGGCGUAAUGAUGGCCAGGCUGUCUCCACCCGAGACUCAGUGAAAUUGAACUCGCUGUGAAGAUGCAGUGUACCCGCGGCAAGACGGAAAGACCCCGUGAACCUUUACUAUAGCUUGACACUGAACAUUGAGCCUUGAUGUGUAGGAUAGGUGGGAGGCUUUGAAGCGUGGACGCCAGUCUGCGUGGAGCCAACCUUGAAAUACCACCCUUUAAUGUUUGAUGUUCUAACGUUGGCCCCUGACCGGGGUUGCGGACAGUGUCUGGUGGGUAGUUUGACUGGGGCGGUCUCCUCCCAAAGCGUAACGGAGGAGCACGAAGGUUAGCUAAUCCUGGUCGGACAUCAGGAGGUUAGUGCAAUGGCAUAAGCUAGCUUGACUGCGAGCGUGACGGCGCGAGCAGGUGCGAAAGCAGGUCAUAGUGAUCCGGUGGUUCUGAAUGGAAGGGCCAUCGCUCAACGGAUAAAAGGUACUCCGGGGAUAACAGGCUGAUACCGCCCAAGAGUUCAUAUCGACGGCGGUGUUUGGCACCUCGAUGUCGGCUCAUCACAUCCUGGGGCUGAAGUAGGUCCCAAGGGUAUGGCUGUUCGCCAUUUAAAGUGGUACGCGAGCUGGGUUUAGAACGUCGUGAGACAGUUCGGUCCCUAUCUGCCGUGGGCGCUGGAGAAUUGAGGGGGGCUGCUCCUAGUACGAGAGGACCGGAGUGGACGCAUCACUGGUGUUCGGGUUGUCAUGCCAAUGGCACUGCCCGGUAGCUAAAUGCGGAAGAGAUAAGUGCUGAAAGCAUCUAAGCACGAAACUUGCCCCGAGAUGAGUUCUCCCUGAGACUUUAAGUCUCCUGAAGGAACGUUGAAGACGACGACGUUGAUAGGCCGGGUGUGUAAGCGCAGCGAUGCGUUGAGCUAACCGGUACUAAUGAACCGUGAGGCUUAACCUU